CGUUUGAAAUUUCCAGGUAACUUUUUACGGGACGAUCUCGAGAUUCUUUGCCGUUCGCACAGAGAGGAGAUUUGUCAAAGGAUUCGUGAACUCGACAAUUCUGACCCAGACACAUUGGUUUGGCCAAUCUUGUUUAAAACCAAUGGAGAGGAAACAGUGGAGGGUUCUGUUCAAGGACAACCACUGAAGAUAGAAGCCUGCGAGGAAGUACACCGGAAAGAAGAUGUUUCUGGUAAGUUUUUAUUUCUGUUUGUAAAUCUUGUUUUUUAUUUUAUUUAUAAUUUUCUUUUUAUUUGUAUUUUUUUUUAAUUUAGGGAUCUUGAUAAAAUUUUGUAAAUUCUCUUUCUUUAGUUUAAUUUUUUUGUUUCUGCUCUUUGUAAUCGUUAAUUUUGUAAAUUCUGUUUGUUUUCUUUAAUUGAGGUGGGUAUUCUUGAGAAAA